ACUCCUACGGGAGGCAGCAGUGGGGAAUCUUGGACAAUGGGGGCAACCCUGAUCCAGCCAUGCCGCGUGAGUGAAGAAGGCCUUAGGGUCGUAAAGCUCUUUCGCCUGUGAAGAUAAUGACGGUAGCAGGUAAAGAAACCCCGGCUAACUCCGUGCCAGCAGCCGCGGUAAUACGGGAGGGGGUUAGCGUUGUUCGGAAUUACUGGGCGUAAAGCGCGCGUAGGCGGACCAGAAAGUUGGGGGUGAAAUCCCGGGGCUCAACCCCGGAACUGCCUCCAAAACUCCUGGUCUUGAGUUCGAGAGAGGUGAGUGGAAUUCCGAGUGUAGAGGUGAAAUUCGUAGAUAUUCGGAGGAACACCAGUGGCGAAGGCGGCUCACUGGCUCGAUACUGACGCUGAGGUGCGAAAGUGUGGGAGCAAACAGGAUUAGAUACCCGUGGUAGCGUCGAG
rnacentral:rRNA from 1 species